rnacentral:rRNA from 1 species
UACGUAGGGGGCAAGCGUUGUCCGGAAUUACUGGGCGUAAAGGGCUCGUAGGCGGCCAACUAAGUCAGACGUGAAAUCCCUCGGCUUAACCGGGGAACUGCGUCUGAUACUGGAUGGCUUGAGUUCGGGAGAGGGAUGUGGAAUUCCAGGUGUAGCGGUGAAAUGCGUAGAGAUCGGGAGGAACACCAGAGGCGAAAGCGGCGACCUGGACAGGCACUGACACUCAACUACGAAAGCGUGGGGAGCAAACAGG